rnacentral:lncRNA from 1 species
CCUUCCUCCCCUUUCUCACCUCGAAGCCCUUCACUCCGGCUUUCCCCUUCCUCCCCUUUCUCACCCCGAAGCCCUUUCACCGCCGGAUCUGCCUCCUCCCGAAGCCCCUCCACUCCGGCCGAAUCCCUUCACCUCUGACCCGAAGCCCUUCCCCAAAGCCUCUUCACAUCCGCCCGAAGCCCUUCACCGCCGGCCGAACCCCUCCACCUCCGGCUUCACCUCCGGCCGAAGCCCUUCACCUCUGCCCUUAGCCCCUCACCGCCAGCCGAACCCCUCCACCUCCGGCUUCACCUCCGCCCGAAGCCCUUUUCUUCCGGCCGAAGCCCGUUACCGCCGCCCGAACCCCUUCACCUCCGGCUUCACCUCCGCUCGAAGCCUUUCACCUCCGCCCUUACCCCUGAACCGCCGGCCGAACCCCUUCACCUCCGGCUUCACUUCUACUCGAAGCCCUUCACUGCUGGCCAAACCCCUUCACCUACGGCUUCACCUCCGCCCGAAGCCCUUCACAUCCACCUGAAGCCCUUCUUCCUCCUCGCGUCCGACAUACCCACACGUCCGGAUCUACCUUCUCACGGUUUAUCUGCCCGAUCUACACGGACGAUUUGUUGGUUUCUUCGUGGAUUUGUGGAAUUCUUGUUGGUCUCGGUUAAGGCCCGUUCCUCGAUAUCUUGGUCGUAGGGAAGGCGUUGUGCUGCUACCCUUCGGUCUUCGGUUCUGAUCUUGCCAACAGUGUACGGAUUCCCCGCCGUUGCGUGCUAUCGAUCUCACUGUCGCGCCUUGACUAUCUCUGUGCUUGGUUCUGGCCAUUUCUGAAUUUGGUAUCUUUGCGAUA